UACGAAGGGGGCUAGCGUUGUUCGGAAUUACUGGGCGUAAAGCGCACGCAGGCGGAUAUUUAAGUCAGGGGUGAAAUCCCGGGGCUCAACCCCGGAACUGCCUUUGAUACUGGGUAUCUCGAGUCCGAGAGAGGUGAGUGGAAUUCCGAGUGUAGAGGUGAAAUUCGUAGAUAUCUGGAGGAAUACCGGUGGCGAAGGCGGCAUCCUGGACCGGCAUUGACGCUGAGGAGCGAAAGCCAGGGGAGCAAACGGG
rnacentral:rRNA from 1 species